GACGAACGCUGGCGGCGUGCUUAACUCAUGCAAGCCGAGCGGGAAACUUCGGUUUCCAGCGGCGGACGGGUGAGUAACACGUGGGCAACCUGCCUCACAAUGAGGGAUAGCCCUCCGAAAGGAGGAUUAAUACCUCAUAACACAAGAGAAACGUAUGUUUCUCUUGCCAAAGAAUUUCGUUGUGAGAUGGGCCCGCGGCGCAUUAGCUUGUUGGUGAGGUAACGGCUCACCAAGGCUUCGAUGCGUAGCCGACCUGAGAGGGUGAUCGGCCACAUUGGAACUGAGACACGGUCCAGACUCCUACGGGAGGCAGCAGUGGGGAAUAUUGCACAAUGGAGGAAACUCUGAUGCAGCAACGCCGCGUGAGUGAUGAAGGUCUUCGGAUUGUAAAGCUCUGUCUUCUGGGACGAUAAUGACGGUACCAGAGGAGGAAGCCACGGCUAACUACGUGCCAGCCGCCGCAGUAA
rnacentral:rRNA from 1 species